rnacentral:rRNA from 1 species
GACGAACGCUGGCGGCGUGCUUAACACAUGCAAGUCGAACGGAAAGGCCUGCUUUCCCUUGUUCAUUCCGUGUACUCGAGUGGCUAACUGAUGAGUAACACGUGAGUCUUCUGCCCCCAGCUUGGGUAUAAACCUGGGAGACUGUGUCUAAUUCCCUAUUGAACUGCAGGGUGGUGCCUGUGGUGGCAAACGAUUUUCUAGUUGUUGGUGAUGAGCUGGCGGCCUAUCAGCUUGUUGGUGGGGUAAUGUCCUACCACGACGGCGACGGGUAGCCGGCCGGGGAGGGUGGACGGCAGCACUGGGACUGAGACAAGGCCCAGACUCGUACGGGAGGUAGGAGUGGGGCAGAAUGCACAAUGGGCGGAAGGCUGAUGCAGCGAGGCAGUGUGGGGGAUGACGGGAUUGGGGUUGUAAACUACUUGCGAACGAGAGGAAGGCACCUGGUUGGAAGGGUGGUGACGGUAGUGGUAGAAGAAGCAACGGCUAACUACGUG